rnacentral:tRNA from 1 species
GCCUGGGUGGCUCAGCUGGUUAAGUGCCUGACUUUGGCUCAGGUCAUGAUCUCACAGUUCGUGAGUUUGAGCCCCACAUCGGGCU